GAGGACCGGAGUGGACGCAUCACUGGUGUUCGGGUUGUCAUGCCAAUGGCACUGCCCGGUAGCUAAAUGCGGAAGAGAUAAGUGCUGAAAGCAUCUAAGCACGAAACUUGCCCCGAGAUGAGUUCUCCCUGACUCCUUGAGAGUCCUGAAGGAACGUUGAAGACGACGACGUUGAUAGGCCGGGUGUGUAAGCGCAGCGAUGCGUUGAGCUAACCGGUACUAAUGAACCGUGAGGCUUAACCUUACAACGCCGAAGGUGUUU
rnacentral:rRNA from 1 species